rnacentral:rRNA from 1 species
GACGAACGCUGGCGGCGUGCCUAAUACAUGCAAGUAGGACGCAGUUGCGAACGGGUGAGUAACGCGUAGGUAACUGCCUCUUAGAGGGGGAGAACUAUUGGAAACGCUAGCUAAUACCGCAUACUAGUAGAUGGACCGGCGUUGUAUUAGUUAGUAGGUAGGGUAAUGGCCUACCUAGGCAACGAUACAUAGCCGACCUGGGGGGGUGAGCGGCCACACUGGGGCGGGGACACGGGCCAGACUCCUUCGGGAGGCAACAUUAGGGAAUCUUCGGCAAUGGGGGGAAACCUGACCAGGCAACGCCGCGGGAGUGGAGAAGGUUUUCGGAUCGUAAAGCUCUGUUGUUAAGGAAGCGGUACUUAACCAGAAAGGGACGGCUAACUACGUGCCAGCCGCCGCGGUAAUAC